GCUCAGUAACACGUAGAUAAUCUACCCUUAGGUGAAGAAUAAGCACGGGAAACUGUGUCUAACACUUCAUAGAGGAUUAGACCUGGAAAGGUAUAUCCUUGAAACUCGUGCCUAAGGAUGAGUCUGCGGUCGAUUAGCUUGUUGGUGGGGUAACUGCCUACCAAGGCUAUGAUCGAUACGGGCUCUUAGCGGAGUUGCCCGGAGACGGAAUCUGAGACACUAUUCCGAGCUCUACGGAGUGCAGCAGUCGCGGAACUUUUACAAUGCACGAAAGUGUGAUAAAGCAAGCCAAAGUGUUUUUCGUUUAGAAAAACUUUUGCUCACUGUAAAAAUGUGGGCGAAUAAGGACUGGGGAAAGACUGGUGCCAGCCGCCGCGGGUAAUACCAGCAGUUCAAGUUUGCAUCCAUUUUUUAAUUGGGGUCCUAAAACAUCCGUAGCUUGGAAUUUUAAGUCCUCUUGGUGAAAUCUCACGUCUCAAGGCGUUGACGAAAGGGCAGGAGAUACUGGAUUCUAAAAAUCGGUAGACGUAAGGAGUACGCCGGGGUACGGUCAAAUGGGUUAAUCCUCGGUGGACUACCAUGAGCGAAGGCACCUUACGAGACGAAUCUGACUGAGGAAUGAGGCCAGGGCCCAACGAUUAAACCGGUAGUCUGGAGUAA
rnacentral:rRNA from 1 species